rnacentral:rRNA from 1 species
UACGUAGGGGCUAGCGUUGUCCGGAAUCAUUGGGCGUAAAGCGUGCGUAGGCGGCCCAGUAAGUCCGUUGUAAAAGUCAAGGCUCAACCUUGAAUGCCGCUGGAAACUGUCUGGCUAGAGUCCGGAAGGGCGAGUGGAAUUCCUGGUGUAGCGGUGAAAUGCGCAGAUAUCAGGAGGAACACCGGUGGCGAAGGCGGGUCUCUGGGCGAGCUGAACUGACGCUGGAGGAGCGAAAGCCGUGGGGAGCGAACAGGA